AUCCAGCUGAAGAGUCCCAAAAAGGACGAAACGUGCUUCCUGGAU
rnacentral:hammerhead_ribozyme from 1 species